CAGCCGCCACGGUAAAACGUAGGGUGCAAGCGUUAAUCGGAAUUACUGGGCGUAAAGCGUGCGCAGGCGGUUUGUUAAGACAGAUGUGAAAUCCCCGGGCUCAACCUGGGAACUGCAUUUGUGACUGGCAGGCUAGAGUAUGGCAGAGGGGGGUGGAAUUCCGCGUGUAGCAGUGAAAUGCGUAGAUAUGCGGAGGAACACCGAUGGCGAAGGCAGCCCCCUGGGCCAAUACUGACGCUCAUGCACGAAAGCGUGGGGAGCAAACAGGAUUAGAUACCCCUGUAGUCCCUGUCUCUUAUAA
rnacentral:rRNA from 1 species